rnacentral:rRNA from 1 species
GAUGAACGCUGGCGGCGUGCCUAAUACAUGCAAGUCGAGCGAACGGACGAGAAGCUUGCUUCUCUGAUGUUAGCGGCGGACGGGUGAGUAACACGUGGAUAACCUACCUAUAAGACUGGGAUAACUUCGGGAAACCGGAGCUAAUACCGGAUAAUAUUUUGAACCGCAUGGUUCAAAAGUGAAAGACGGUCUUGCUGUCACUUAUAGAUGGAUCCGCGCUGCAUUAGCUAGUUGGUAAGGUAACGGCUUACCAAGGCAACGAUGCAUAGCCGACCUGAGAGGGUGAUCGGCCACACUGGAACUGAGACACGGUCCAGACUCCUACGGGAGGCAGCAGUAGGGAAUCUUCCGCAAAGGGCGAAAGCCUGACGGAGCAACGCCGCGUGAGUGAUGAAGGUCUUCGGAUCGUAAAACUCUGUUAUUAGGGAAGAACAUAUGUGUAAGUAAAUGUGCACAUCUUGACGGUACCUAAUCAGAAAGCCACGGCUAACUACAUG